AGCUCCAAUAGUGUAUACUAAAAUUGCUGCAGUUAAAAAGCUCGUAGUUGGAUUACAAAAGACUUCACGCCGCUUCUUCGCAGUUCGCUGCGUUGAGACGGUUGCAAGUCUUUUUUAUCGUGAGAGCCAUGUAUGAAAUUCACUUUUUGUGCAUGGUCACUCACGGAGUGUGCCUUGAAUAAACCAAAGUGCUCAAAACAGGCGUCACGCUCGAAUGUAAUAGCAUGGUACGAAUAGUUCUGACUAGUCAGUUUCUGUUGGUUGCUGAUUUGGUCUCGAUUAAAAGGGACAUUUGAGGGCGUUAGUACUUAGUGGCGAGAGGUGAAAUUCAUUGACCCACUAAAGACUCACUAUUGCGAAAGCAUUCGCCAAGACUGUUUUCAUUAAUCAAGAACGAAAG
rnacentral:rRNA from 1 species